ACAAAUUGUACCCUUCGUCCUUAAUUUUUACUGUACUCAACAUUAUACAGGAGAUGUAAAAGAAAGAGAGUCUAUUCUGUAUAACUGAUCUUCAUAUCAAAGCAGCUCAUUUUUCUCAACAUUGUGUUAUGUUGUCUGGUUGUUCCCAUAAGCUUUGUAACUUGAAAAGGGUUAUUUGGAGGCAGGAUGUUUUCUUUGCAGGCAAGAUGCUGGGAAUGGUGGUUUGUAAAGGCAAAUGAGGUGGUUUCAACUUGUUCCAACAAUCGUCCUGUUGAUAUAUUGAGCUAUGCUGAAGAUGGGGUUUCAAGUAUACAGCAUAUUAGUUUAGAAAAAUUGUUUAUUUGCAGUGGAAUUUUCAGCUUAUCGGUAAAAACUUGGUUGUCAUAGUGAAUUCUGAUAGAAGCACUGGAUAUUAGUUUCAACAUUCAGGUAAUAACUGUGCAGAGAAAACUUGCAAAGCAGGGACCUAGAUUUUUGGAUGUUCGUUCCAUUCUAUUUUGAUGUGGUGAACAAUCUGAGUGAACAAACUGAUGAUAAUAUAUUCACUUUAA